rnacentral:rRNA from 1 species
CUUGCUUUCUUUGCUGGCGACCGGCGCACGGGUGAGUAACACGUAUCCAACCUGCCCUUUACUCGGGGAUAGCCUUUCGAAAGAAAGAUUAAUACCCGAUAGCAUAAUGAUUCCGCAUGGUUUCAUUAUUAAAGGAUUCCGGUAAAGGAUGGGGAUGCGUUCCAUUAGGUUGUUGGUGGGGUAACGGCCCACCAAGCCUUCGAUGGAUAGGGGUCCUGAGAGGAAGGUCCCCCACAUUGGAACUGAGACACGGUCCAA